GGGUGUGAGAGGGAGCUGGCCGUGCCAUCUGUCACUCUGUUGAUUGCCGUGGUUAUUUUGGCUAGUCUGGCUGGCCAGGCUGGUGUCCCCAUCCUCCUCAUCACUCCCUGUGUGUUCCUCCCAAAGCCACUCUGUUGGUUUGACCUUAAAAAUGAAGGGAGGGAGGGGACAUAGCACUAGGUG
rnacentral:snRNA from 1 species